UGCAGAGGUUGUAAUGCGCAGUGUUGCUCUUAAGAUCUGCUCUCUUGAUUUAACAACUCCGCAUUGCUAGCUCACCCAUAGGCAUCUGUGAGCUAUGCCCACCACCCCAAUGCAGCUUUCUCAAACUACAUGAUUCCUAAAAGUGAACAGAAUGAAUGGUUGGUUGAAAUAGAAAAACAAGAAAAUGGAAGCCUUCAUUUUUAGACAGUCCCUGUAGGACAGCAGAAGAAAACAUAUUGCUCUUUAGUUGGCAUCCUGCCUUUACUGAUGAGAUGUUAGCAGUUCCCAAGAAGAAGAAAAUCCAUAUGCCAAAGGAAGCUGUGGGCUCAAUUUCUAUGGAAGAAGAGUGUUGGAUGAAGCAUGGAAACAGGUAGCAGCACACUGAGACAGCAUACACCUAUGGUACUGCUGAGCAAUGAAAAUUACUUCAACGCUUUGAAUGCUUCAGACACUGGAAUAUUUUGGGCUAUCAAAACAGAAUACAACAGUCAUGAUCAGAAGCAUUUUUCUUUAGCAUGAAAGAAACACAGAACAAGCAAUGGAUGUUCGUGGAAAAUUCCAGACACCAACUAGAUCUGGAUACAAUUGAUAAAGAGGACAAAGAACUAAUGGCAUGGAUUUAAUGGAUCAAGUUUCUCUUCUGCAGUUCAUCUCUUCGUUAAUGGCCCAUGAAAAGUGAAGACAAGAGAUUUGGACCAAAGAGCUGCCAGAGACUAAACCAAGCAUUACCUCUUGAAGGAUUGUAUCAUUGAUGCUUUAAAUUAAAACUUUAUUGCCAUUGUAAAAUGUCUGUGAGUUACCCAG
ensembl:lncRNA